CUUUGGGGUCUUGUUGUCGUCUGUUGUAUGAGUGUGUAGCGGCGUCGGGACGGCAACGAGUUUUCUGCCGGUUGUCCGGCCGGAUGUGUGCGAGGGUGAUGGGCGAGCAGCUACUGCUGUUGGUGAGGCAAGAGAAAAAUGGGAGGAACUUGAGGGCUGGAAUCGGCAGGUGGCGACUUCUGGCUAUCACUGCCGGAGUUAGAGAAUAGGGGUCGAUGGCGGUGGUGGUCUAUUGACUGUUGUCGCCGGAGAUCGAGACUAGGGUGGUGGUUGAAGGAGAUAGAGUCGAGGGAGACGAGGAGAGAGGCGGCAAUGGCUGCCAAUAGUUGUUGUCAUCGGUACAGAGAGAGAGAGAGUCGGCUGGAUGGAGUGUCUCGCCGGGAUUUUGGAGGCGGCGGCAGUGGCUUCUCGCUGCUGACUCGCCGGAGUUCUAGAGAGGAAUAGUGGCGGCGCGAUUUGGUUAGGUUGGAGGGAGAUGAGGCCGGCGGCCUUGGUGCCGUCGAGCUGAGGAGAGAAUCCGAGCGUCGUUAGCGGCCGUCGCUGUUGCUCCGGCAAGCUUUGGCGGUGGCGGAAUUCUGUGAGUGUGAGAGUGACAAGAUGGGGGGGGAUGGCGCGGCGUGAAAUUGAGAGAGAGUGAGAUGGAUUGAGGAACCGUGAGAGAGAGAUUUGAGAGUGAAGGCGGAGUCAGCGUGGGGUGAGGAAGAAGAAAAGAAGGUGUUGGGCUAGGUUUUGAGUUUUGGACCGAGUUAGUUGGGCUGUUGGGCUUCUGUGUGGGCCGGUUUUUAAUUUAUUUAUCAGUUGGGUUUUUAAUUUAUUUAUCACUUGGGCCCUUUUUAUUUUAAAAAGAAAACGCUGGGCCUUAAUUCAGUUUUUAAAAGAUGGGCCCUAUUAUUGUUUAAUUAACUUGGGCUGUGCAGAUUUUCAUUUAAAGGGACUCUACCAUUUUAUUUAAUUAGACUAUUAAUUAUUUUGAUUAAUUAUUUUUAAAGACUUUGGAUUGCCUUUAAUUAAUUAAAUUGGGCUUUCUUAUUUUUAAUUAAUUGAACUAUUAUUAGUUUGAUUAAUUUAUUUAAAGGAUAAUUUUUAUAAUAAUAUUAAAUUAUUAUUAAGUGCAUAUUUUAAGUAAUUACUUAUCAUAUGCUAAGCAUGACAUGACAUUUCAUUUGCAUCAUGAAAUAAAAAGUAUUUAUGAUUUAAUUGGUUUUAUUUAUAAUUCCAAUUAUUAAAGAAAGAUGAGUAAGAAUAUUGUUGGUGUUCUUAACUCAAGGAAUUUAGUUUUCAAUUAUUUAUUAUUAAAUUUUGAAAACCCGGCUAAGUGAAUCAUAGAAUAUUAAGCACUACACCAUGACUUAAGAUUAGCUUCACGAGACCUAUUAAGAAUAGAAUUUCUUGUAGGCUUUGUGACCAGGGGGAUUAGCGCUGCUUUCCCAAGACAGGUUUUUAUGUGUAUGAUCUUCAGGCUUUGCCUAUCCAGGUGGGCUUACUUUCCAAAUGUACAAAGUAUGAUUGAGUUAUUAAGCUCUAAAUGUUUCAAUGAAAUGCAAAUUGUUUAUUUAAUGUAAUGAAAACUGUUUAUCCAAUAAAAUAUUUUGUGCACUCUGCUCUGUUUAAGGCUCGCCAUAAUGAAUCGAUCGAGGUUCUCUUAUGACCUAACACGUUAUUUGAGAAUUGUGUACACCUAUUAGCUGACUCGGUGGGUUGAUCUCCAUUCGGGCACUAAUCAUGUAUGAGGCGUUAUAAGGGUGCUCGACGGGAUGUGUUCCGGAGCAUUGGGUCCCAAAUGGGAGCUUGGCUGGGUUACGCCCUCAGUCCAAGAAAGCGGGAGAAAUGGAUCCGUCGGUGGCUAAAAGGUCCGGGAUCACAGCGAGUAACAGAAAGGGAGUGUGACAUGUGCGCACAAAUGAAAGAAAAUGUUUUAACAUGCUUAGAAGUUAUUUCAAUUUAAAACCUUCUAAGUCAUGUCAAGUAUAAUUGGAUAAACUGCUCUUUACGAAAAUAUGAAAUGUUUAUGAAAAUGCAUGCCCACUAAGUACAUUAGUACUUAGCCCAAAAAUACUUUCAAAUGUUUUCAGGUUGGCUGGCCGGUGCUGACGGGACGGAGCUGAGGCUAGCGAUAAAUUCCUAUGUUAGACUUCCGCUGUAGCAAUUACUCAUAUCAGUCUUUUGUUUUCCCAACUUAAGAUCUUCAUGUUAAAUUUCAAAUGAUAUACCUGACCGAGCUUAGACUCUUCACUACUAAAUUUAUGCCAAUGAAUGUCGGUUGUCAGAAGCAUGAAACAAAACUUGUGAUCCAAAGGGGCAUAGCCCGACUCUCUAUCCUAUUAUUCGGGUUUUAACAAGGUUGUUCCUUGUUUAUUUCUAUGAAUUAGUCACACCUCGAUUAUAUUUAUUCCUUCAAGAAUUGGGGUGUGACAGAAUGGUAUCAGAGCACGAGUUUUCUUUCAUGACUCUGAUAACCAUAAGCUUUUGAUGUCGAGUCUAGAAUAGUAUCUCUAGACUUCUAAGAAUGUCAGUAGUCCUCAGCUCGCCGUCACACUGCCGCAACAAAGGUACGAUAAUAGUUUCAAAAAUAUAAAUAUAUGUAUUUCAGAUGUUAUGAAAGUUUUCAAGAAAAUGUGCGCCUUAUGUUUACGAUGCUAUGUGAAUGCUUUUUGUCGUGUUUGGGACUACCCGAACCCAUAACGACUCAAUGAAUGUAUUUCGUGUUUGGGACAACCCGAGCCCUUAACGAAUCAAUGUAUGUAUGUAUGUAUGGUCGAGUUAGAUUCCUUGAAUCUUUCUGGCAUAAGCAAAGUUUUUCAUGAAAGGGACAUUUAAUGUCCAUAUGACUCAAAAUUUCAAAGAAAGCAAAUAUAUGUAUGUAUGUAUGUAUGAAUGAAUGAUGAGAAAGCUUUAUGUUAUCAUUUUAGGUUCACUGCCUAUAUGAUUAGAAUGAUGAGUUCUUUUACAAAUCGUUUGAGAACCACCCAAUAAUGUCUUACGAAUGUUAGUCGUGAUAGCACCGCUAGAACGACAUAGAAUGGACCUAUAUGAUACCAAAGAUUUAUGAUUGAAGUACUUAGAAGUAAGUGCUUUAAGUUAGAAGUUGACUUAGAGCUUUAUAAGAGAUAAGAAGUUGACAUGAUUGGGGGCGAAGCUCCCAUUUGACUGAGUGAUUCGUUGUGCUGGGUCUGGCCAGCCCACAUAACUAAGAUCUCGGUGAUUGUCAAUUAAGAUUUUUACUUUGAGUAGAGCGUCAUCCCAAUGUAUAGAAUCUCACUAUGUAGUUCUCACAAUAAGAUUUUGCUUCCAUCACGAUAAGCAUAAUAUGAUUAGAAUGAGUUCGUUUGUCACCAGUUCUCGAGACUAUAGACAUGGUAUUCUCACAAUUAGAAAGAUUCGAUAACAAUCAAGCUAUUUAGUCGCACUGAUAGUGAAGUCUAGUAUCCCAAACUAGAUUAUCCAGAUAUGCAAUUUCGAGGACGAAAUUUUUAUAAGGAGGGAGGAAUGUAACACCCCGCUUUUUCCUAGCUAAAUUUAGAGUAAUUUUGAACUUAUAAGUCAGGAUGAUUCACGCCGGAUAUAAAGAAAAUGAAUUUAUUUUUAAUUCCAACAAAAAAAAUGAUUUACUAAAAUAUUUGUAAAUUUAGUUAUUAAAUUUAUGUGCGACGCAUAUUUAUUUAAUUUAGCAUUCAAAGCAUUUUCACGAGCUUUUAGUCAGCAAACCCUGAAGAAUUAUUACAGUUUUCAUAGUACAACCCGGAAGACUUUUUAUUUUAUUUUAUUUUAUUUCACCCACCUACUCCCACACCCACUACUCUCCAACAACUAUGCCCCUUUAAUUUUUAUAUAUCAAAACACUUUCAGCAAAAGUUGCAUCCUCCAACUUUCCCACUUUCAGCAAAAAUCCCACCUCCACCUUUCCCUUUACACCACUAUACCAACUAACACAUUUUAUAUCAGCCAAAGAAGCCACUAACACAUUAUACAGCCAUGUUAGUGUCACUCAAUCAAAACAAAUUCACCAAGAAAACACUUACUGCAGCCAACUCCAAGAACCCCAUCUCAUUGACUCGCAGCAAAUUUCCAAGCUGCCACACAAAUUCUAAAGGUUCACAUUCUUAGUACACAUUCUGCAUAAUUUCAAUUUUUUUUAUAAAAUAUGAUUAAUUGCAUUAUAUCUGAAAAUUUUGAUUUCAUCAACAAACAAGCAUUUUUAUGAAUAAACACAAGAAUAAUAAGAGUUUAUUUUUUAAAAAUAUGAUUGGAGUGUGUAUCAUUUAAAUCUGUUUAUGAACUAAGAAUGUUUUAAGUAGAAAAACGAGUUUUCUGCCGGUUGUCCGGCCGGAUGUGUGAGAAAGGAAGAACCAGCAGCUACUGUGAUGGUGAGACAAGAGAAAAAUGGGAGGAACUUGAGGGCUGGAAUCGGCAGGUGGCGACUUCUGGCUAUCACUGCCGGAGUUAGAGAAUAGGGUCGAUGGCGGUGGUGGUCUAUUGACUGUUGUCGCCGGAGAUCGAGACUAGGGUGGUGGUUGAAGGAGAUAGAGUCGAGGGAGACGAGGAGAGAGGCGGCAAUGGCUGCCAAUAGUUGUUGUCAUCGGUACAGAGAGAGAGAGUCGGCUGGAUGGAGUGUCUCGCCGGGAUUUUGGAGGCGGCGGCAGUGGCUUCUCGCUGCUGACUCGCCGGAGUUCCA
rnacentral:lncRNA from 1 species